rnacentral:lncRNA from 1 species
AUGCAUGAGGCUGUACUAUUUGUCCCUCUUACCAGGAUUUUCUGGACAUUUGAUCUACUCCCAGGAAACCUGGCCUCCAUGCCCGGACUGUCACCCACUCUCCUGUUCCCACUUAAUCCCUUGGUUGGCCACACUGAGCUCUUUCUCUAUUUUAUCCCUGCUGUCACUACCUCUACACUGCUCUCUCCAACCAAAUCCUCAUCCCUUAACUUGUUGCUGAGAAUUAUGUCCACACAGUCCCAUGUCAACACCCUGCCUUUUCCCUCCAGGCCCGGAUGGGGACACAGAACAUCCAUGGUUCCAUUUGCUGCAGGGGAGAUAGUGCUGAGCCAUGCUGACUUGGACCAUUCUCCACCUCCCUGGAGCAGUGAUGAUAAAAGAGAAAUACAAUGUGGUCCCAGCCCUGAAAGAAGCUUAUAUAAUCAAGAGAGACAGCAAGUAGCAUGGGGACUAUGAUUUGAACCACAAAAGAGAAUGUGGCAAUCCUCCCACGGGCAACAGGUGAGAGAGAUGGUUAGGACAGAGGUAGAAGGUAGGAGGGUUUAAGCUAGCCUCUGGACAUGUGCAGCUGGAUACCUUGGUGUGUAGGGGUGGGGGCUGGCCGAGAGAGUGUUCCUUCCUUACAGGAAGCUCAGCGGUCCUGUGGGUUUGGAACUGGGUGUUGGGGAGGAUAGGAGGAGGACCAGGUGAGGUGCUUAGGUCUAGACGGAGAGGAGAAAGGCAUUGUGUCUUGGUCAAGGUGUUUGGCCUUCAUGGUGCUAAUGACAAGUCAUUGAAGAGCUUUACAGAGGUGAUUCGCCCUUGCUUAAAUCUGCAGUGUGAGGAAGGUCACGGUAGU